rnacentral:rRNA from 1 species
CCCUUAGAUGUUCUGGGCUGCACGCGCGCUACACUGACACACGCAACGAGUCUCCUGCCCUGACAGGGUCGGGUAAUCAUUUGAGUGUGUGUCGUGAUGGGGAUAGAGUAUUGCAAUUAUUGCUCUUGAACGAGGAAUUCCUAGUAAGCACAAGUCAGCAGCUUGUGCUGAUUACGUCCCUGCCCUUUGUACACACCGCCCGUCGCUCCUACCGAGGGGGUGACCCGGUGAAUGAUUCGGACUCUGGUGCUUCUAGCUGCUAGAUGCGCCGGAGGAAGUUUUGUGAACCUUAUCACUUGGAGGAAGGAGAAGUCGUAACA